GACGAACGCUGGCGGCGUGCUUAACACAUGCAAGUCGAACGGAAAGGCCCUGCUUGCAGGGUGCUCGAGUGGCGAACGGGUGAGUAACACGUGGGUGAUCUGCCCCUUACUUUGGGAUAAGCCUGGGAAACUGGGUCUAAUACUGGAUAGGACCAUGCUGUAGGUGGUGUGGUGGAAAGAUUAGUUUCGGUAAGGGAUGAGCUCGCGGCCUAUCAGCUUGUUGGUGGGGUAAUGGCCUACCAAGGCGUCGACGGGUAGCCGGCCUGAGAGGGUGGACGGCCACAUUGGGACUGAGAUACGGCCCAGACUCCUACGGGAGGCAGCAGUGGGGAAUAUUGCACAAUGGGCGCAAGCCUGAUGCAGCGACGCCGCGUGGGGGAUGACGGCCUUCGGGUUGUAAACUCCUUUCAGCCAUGACGAAGCCCUUGUGGUGACGGUAGUGGUAGAAGAAGCACCGGCUAACUGCGUG
rnacentral:rRNA from 1 species